CCUACGGGUGGCAGCAGUAGGGAAUCUUCCACAAUGGGCGAAAGCCUGAUGGAGCAACGCCGCGUGGGUGAAGAAGGUCCUCGGAUCGGAAAACCCUGUUGUUAGAGAAGUAAGGUCGAGAGAGUAACUGUUCACGUUUCGACGGUAUCUAACCAGAAAGCCACGGCUAACUACGUGCCAGCAGCCGCGGUAAUACGUAGGUGGCAAGCGUUAUCCGGAUUUAUUGGGCGUAAGGGGAACGCAGGUGGUCUUUUAAGUCUGAUGUGAAAGCCUUCGGCUUAACCGGAGUAGUGCAUUGGAAACUGGGAGACUUGAGUACAGAAGAGGAGAGUGGAACUCGAUGUGUAGCGGUGAAAUGCUUAGAUAUAUGGAAGAACACCAGUGGCGAAAGCGGCUCUCUGGUCUGUAACUGACACUGAGGUUCGAAAGCGUGGGUAGCAAACAGGAUUAGAUACCCGAGUAGUC
rnacentral:rRNA from 1 species